ensembl:snoRNA
AUGCACUGUCUUUGAACCCCUGGCACCACUCUUUGUGGCACUGAGGGUUAAGCUUCUGUACCAUAGCAGUUGCUGGUGCAUAACGGAUUGGCUGCCAAAUCGCUGGCAGCACUUUCAACCCCUAGUUACAAGC